rnacentral:lncRNA from 1 species
AUCUUGGCAACAUGUUGCCAUGCAUUGUCAUGGAGAAUGAUGAUUCCUGAAGACAGCAGGCUGGAUUGCUUGUUUUUGAUGUUUUUGUUUUGAUGUUAUUUUUGAGUGUUUAGGUGUAACGAUGGUCAUUGAUCAUGAUGUUGGAAUUCUUAAACUCUAGUAAGAUGGGUCUCUGCAUUUAAAAGAAUGCAGUCAGCAUAUUUUUCUGGCUAACUGGUGCAUUUUGAAUUUCUUUGACAUGAGCAAAUCAGCAUACUUCCAUAUCAUGUUGAUGGACUUUCUAGUUCAAAGUGGUGAUACAAUGUUUCAUCUCCUGCCAUUAUAUGCCUCAAGAAUUGUUCACCCUCAUUGUAUAGCAUAACAAAUGCUAUAAGCUGAGACCUAUUUGCUGUUCCUUGUGGUGUUCAGUUAGCAUAUGGGGCACCAAUUGGCACCACUGACUUGCAUCCUGCAGCUGUUAAAAACUGAAUUACAGCUAGCAUAUUCUGCUUGGAUGGGUUUUCAAUCACACCAGUCAUCUUCAAUAUUAUGCCACAUGUAUAAAAAUGAUGCAAGCACACAAUUUAAGAACAUUAUGUAUGUGCCUCAUAUACAGCUUCAGUUAAACAUAUGCAUUCCAAAACGGAAAUGUCAACUCAUAUUAUAGGGCAGUUCAAACGUGUUUCACUUGAACAUGCCUUAUAUAAACAAUGUUUGUUUACAUAUAAUUUAAAAAAAUAUUUCAUUAACUGAAAAAAUUUAG